UCUCAAUCAACUUUUACACACUUACUAGCUACUAUUUAUACAAAAGCACUAAUUUGAACAUUUUUGAAGCAGUUUACCAGUUUCGAGACAACUGUGAAGAACAAAAUUAAAUCAAUGGCUCCAAUCACGAAGAACACAAAACGGAAGGCUGAAAAUAAUCAAGAGGAGGAAGGACCUCAGAAGAGAGCCUGCAGGGACAAUGAGGCCCAUGAAGAAAAGAAAUACAGGCCACUCAUCAGAGCCACAAGGUCCUCAUCUAAAGCCCAAGCAGAAGGGUCCAAAAGCUAUGAUUUCAUGAAGGACAUAGCCUUUACUCCCACUCCCUUCUACAGUGAUUCUUUUUCAUUUCCAAGUACGGCAACAAAAGACCAUGUCAUCGAAGUUCAAUUAACAAAAGAUAAAUCAAUCACAAGGAACAAAAAACGGAAAGCUGAAAAAGAUCAAGAGGAGGAAGGACCUCAGAAGAGAGCCUGCAGGGACAAUGGGGCCUAUGAAGAGAAGAAAUACAGGCCACUCAUCAGAGCCACAAGGACCUUACCUAACGUCCCAUACAUAAACUGGUUUACCUCUCCCGACUACAGUGAAUGGCAUUCAGAACCAAUGACAACAACAACAGACCACGUCAUUGAAGUCCAUUUAACAAAGGGUAAGUGUUGUGGUGUUUGGAAUGAAAUGAGACAGAGUCAAGUUGUAGGGUUACUGGUCAGAUGCGGACACAGGGUUUAUUUGGGGCAGACCGGUCU
rnacentral:lncRNA from 1 species